rnacentral:tRNA from 1 species
GCGGGCGUGGUGGAACUGGUAGACACGUCAGGUUUAGGUCCUGGUGAUGAAAGUCGUGGGGGUUCAAGUCCCUCUGCCCGCACCA